ACAGCAAUGCCGGAUCUUUAACCCACUGAGCGAGGCUAGGGAUCAAUCCCAGAUCCUCAUGGAUGCUAGUCAGGUUUGUUACUGCUGAGCCACAGUGGGAACUCCAGAAUGUAUAUUUUAUGCGAAGAGAAAUCUUAUUGAUCUUGGGAACAAAAAUCCUAUUUCCAAAAUCCAACGAACUCUGUGGGUACACCACGUUUGCACACGUACACCAACACAAAGAGAAAAAAAUGUUAGUUCUAACAGUGACUGCAAAUAUCUCUGUUUCAGGCAGAGAGCAAGGAAGAGCAGUUUGUUCAUGGUCUUAGAAAAUCAAGAGAGUUGUCAUCACCCUAAAGAGUUCUUCCAGCAUCAAGAUGGCACAUCUGGAGUUUCAGCACCUCUCCAAAAGUGGUAUGACAUCUGAAUUGACCUGUUAGUUAUGAAUAGGUUUUCUACAGUGUUUUGAUGAAAGAAGUUGUGACCCUGGAGAAGGAAGAAGCCAUUUUUGUAAACAGCUCCCACUUUGUUGGUGGUGCAUCUAAUUUUAAAAACGAGAAAGGCGAGAAGAAGUGUAAUACCCAACCUUCCUGGUGAAGUGCAUCCGCACACUUGUGAGGUUUUGCUAAACCACUCAUCAACCUGGAAUGUCUUUUAUGUAUGUGCCUGUUGAAAUUCUGCUCAUUCUUCAAGGACCAUUCAAGUCCAAAAUUUUUUUCUGAAGCCAUUAUUU